rnacentral:tRNA from 1 species
AGAAAGUUAGUCUAACCAAGACGGUUGGUUUCGACCCAACAAAUUAUAGGUAAUGCCUAUAACCUUCUU